rnacentral:misc_RNA from 1 species
GAUGAAGAACGUAGCGAAAUGCGAUAAGUAAUGUGAAUUGUAGAAUUCAGUGAAUCAUCGAAUCUUUGAACGCACAUUGCGCCCCUUGGUAUUCCGAGGGGCAUGCCUGUUCGAGCGUCAUUAUAACCCUUCAAGCUCAGCUUGGUGUUGGGGCCUGCUGUAACUGGUAGCCCUUAAAAUCAGUGGCAGUGCUAUUAGGCUCUAAGCGUAGUAAUUCUUCUCGCUAUAGUGUGUAGUGAGCGCUUGCCAGAACCCCAAACUUUUAUAUGAUUGACCUCGGAUCAGGUAGGGAUACCCGCUGAACUUAAGCAUAUCAAUAAGCGGAGGA